rnacentral:lncRNA from 1 species
CUGAACCACAUUUGUGGUGAUGAAAGGUUUGGUCAGAAAAGGAGGCUGGGGUAAAACAGCAUCUAUUCUGUCAUUUGAAGAAUGGGAAGGAUUUUGCUAGAACAAGAGAGGGUGGGAAAAUAAGAAAGGAAAAUAGAACAUUUUAGGGAAAGGGAAUAGUGUGUGCAAAGAUGAAGAAGUAUAAAAGAAAAUGUAGCUUAUUCCAGAAACUGCUAAAAGGAUCAAUAUGCUGUCGUGUCAUGAGAGAGCCACAAUUCUUCAAACAUAUUUAACUGCUGGAGAGAAUGGCUCAGAAUCCCAGGUAUCAGCUUCAGCACACAUCUCUUCUUGGCCCUUGACAGAAGAAGCAGAGUAACUUUUCUUAGGUGGCAUAAUUCUUCAAAAUGUGUUCAUUUUGAAGAACAGGGGUGAUGGAUGGUAAUACACAGGCAGGGAUCAACAGUCCCAGAACUGAAGGAAGAGUUGACAAAUGUAUCAAAGAUGCCUAAUCAAA